ensembl:lncRNA LINC01229 long intergenic non-protein coding RNA 1229
CCAGCACUUUGGGAGGCCGAGGCGGGUGGAUCACAAGUUCAGGAGAUCGAGACCAUCCUGGCUAAAACGGACAAGCGUCGCCUGCACACGUCAGCACAAAUGGGAACAUGAUGAGUGAUGCUGCCUGGAGUUAAAGGAGGCCAGGAGCACCAGAAGCUGGAGGAGGCCGGGGUGGAUUCUCGCCUGGAGGCUUCAGUGGGAGCACGAGCUCCCGACACUUCGGUUCCAUCUCUUGUUUAAAGGCACCCAGUUUCUCAUCAUUUGUUACAGCACCAUGGAAAACCCACACACAAGUGAAGCCCCGACCCACCUCCCAAGUGCCCAUCUGAGCACCCCUCGUGGACUCUGAGCAGGGGGUUGCCAUCACCAACUCCAAGUCUUGCAGCCCCUCUUCCCUUCAGUCUGGCUGCCACCUUCUUCAUUGCCCUGGAAAAAAAUAAUGAAGUUUCACCAUUUAAAGGGUUUCAGUGCAGCUUGCUAUGGGAACACUGGAGAGUAACACAAAUGGCCAAUUGUCCUAAUAGCCACCAUGGAUUGGAUGGAUGCUAACAACAGGCUCACAGUUCUCCUUCUGUUGCCUCCUUUUAUCCACAUGAGAAUCAAACAAGACUACUGAUUAAAUGAAGCCUUUGAUGAAGUGCAUGCAGUUUGUAGCUUGAUUCAUGGGAAUACUCAUCACAGACUGAAAGUGUAACCCAGGGUCUCUGGGUUUUUGGGAACGCGCUGUGUAAAAGUAUCUACUUGUAACUGUUACUCCCUGAGUUGUUGUUGUUUUAGAAAGUUCCAAGAAGAAGCUUAGCCUUGGAAAAAACAAAAACUGGUUGAAUCCAGAAGUGGAGAUGAAUUUUGGCCAACGCUCCUCACUGCCACACUAAAAACCCUGCUCAGAGAGGAGCUUAUUCACCAUGUUCUAUUCAUGCAAUGUGUGUGGAAACAUGAUCUACGACAGCAUGCGUGCUGCCUUCACCCUACCUCUACAUACAAUGACUCAUUUAACCUGCUGAAUAAAAGCCCUGUUUUCACCUUUGCUGGGGGAGGUGCCGCUUUGGGAACUAUUCGCAGUGUCCUCUUCACUUUUUGCAAGUAAUAGAAUACCCUUGUUAAAUCCUA